UCCGAGUUGACCCCGGCAGUCUCCCAUGAGUCCCCGCCAUUACGCGCUGGCAACAUGGAACGAGGGUUGCGCUCGUUGCGGGACUUAACCCAACAUCUCACGACACGAGCUGACGACAACCAUGCACCACCUGUGAACCGGCCCCAAAGGGGAAACCACAUUUCUGCAGCGGUCCGGUCCAUGUCAAGGGCUGGUAAGGUUCUGCGCGUUGCGUCGAAUUAAACCACAUGCUCCACCGCUUGUGCGGGCCCCCGUCAAUUCCUUUGAGUUUUAGCCUUGCGGCCGUACUCCCCAGGCGGGGAAUUUAAUGCGUUAGCUUCGGCACGGACGGAGUCGACACCGCCCACACCUAGUUCCCAUCGUUUACGGCGUGGACUAC
rnacentral:misc_RNA from 1 species